AUGGAUUCUUUGCCACUGAGCCACCUGGGAAGCUUGAGGCUCUCAACAUUCUGUGAGGAGCCUCCUUGUCAAGAGCUCUUUCUGCUCGGCGCACAGAAGGAAAUUCAGCUCUGUCCACAUUCUGCAAACUUCCUCCAAGGAAGCCGGAUCGCUGGCCCCACUCCCCGUCCGUCUCCAGUCCCAGUGCCAAGAACACUCCUCAGCAGAUGCACGCCGACCCCCAUUCCAGGCCCUCUGGAGAACAACCUUGAUCUGGGCCAUGUGUCCAGGCCGUUUUCCUUGGCAGCCACAGAAUGCGCGUCAUGCCUGCAACUUGCGGGGCGGCUCAUCCUGGGUCUCCUUGACCUGUGGUUUGCAAGAAGAAAACGCUCUGGUUUGCCAGGGACACCCAUCUCCCUAGGGAACAAAUGUUUGCAUUCUCUCUUGUUCGAUUGCUUCUAAUGGAGGACACGGCCAGUCCCCUAGUCCCAGCUGAGUGAGCCGGAAGCCAGCCCCUGAGCGGAGGACUGGAUGGGUUUGAUCUGGAAAAGGCGCCUCACCUGGUCUGAUCCCUGCAUGACCCUGUGAGGGCAGCAGAGCCAGAGGGGCCUCUGAGCCUCUCUGCCCAGGUGAGAGCACCGAGGUUCAAGAGGUGAAAGCGUCUGCCAAGGUCCCUGCCCAUAAGAGGUGUCGGGUGGAGCCAUGUCCAGCUUUUGCCAGCUCANNNNNNNNNNNNNNNNNNNNNNNNNNNNNNNNNNNNNNNNNNNNNNNNNNNNNNNNNNNNNNNNNNNNNNNNNNNNNNNNNNNNNNNNNNNNNNNNNNNGCCCAUAAGAGGUGUCGGGUGGAGCCAUGUCCAGCUUUUGCCAGCUCAAGGCCACCGUACCUCCCACUGCAGGACACAGCUGAGGACGGAGGGGGCUCACCCUGGGCUCGAGUGCCCCUCGGGUCCCUGUACCCUCCUUGCUCUGUUCUCCUCCCCAAGCCAGGCUCCCAUCUGUAAAAUGAAGGGGAAGGGAUCUCAGCCACCAGCCUCCCCUUGUCUGCAGCCAUCCCGCCUUAUUUUCCCAGACCAACCUGCCCCCCAAACGCACCUGCACUCCGAAAAUAACUGGCUGCCCGCUCCCCAGCCCUGCAGGCCAGCCCUUUAUUUCUCUCACUGCCUGGCUAACGACGGGGAAACUGAGCUAAGGAACUGCCAAGGGGCACCCUGUGCUGGCCCAGUGGGACCCACAAUAGCUACUUACUAAAAAUGUAUUAUUCAAUUUCAUUUUUACAGAAAUCAUUGAUUUCUUUUUUUUAAUGUGCUUAUUUUUGUUUGGAGGAUAAUUGCUUUACAAUAUUUUGCUGGUUUCUGCCACACAGCAGCAUGAACCAACCAUAGGUAAACAUGCGUCCCCUCCCUCUUGAACCUCCUUCCCACCUCCCACCCCAUCCCCUGCCUCUAGGCUUUCACAGAGCGCCUGUUUGAGCAAACUCCCACUGGCCCUCUGUUUUGCAUAUGGUAAUGAGCAAACUCCCACUGGCCUCGGUUUUGCACAUGGUAACGUGCAUGAUCCCAUGCCACUCUCUCUAUGCGGCCCACCCUCUCCUUCCCCCACCGUGUCCACGAGUGUGUUCUCUGCAUCUGCAUCCCUAUUCCUGCCCUUGCACAUAGGUUCGUCAGUACCAUUUUUCUAGAUUCCAUAUAUAUGCGUUAAUAUACAAUAGUUGUUCACUGAUUCCUUAUAUCAAAUUCUGGCCUCCUGAGUUGUUUUUAAGUGGUUAGUUAUUUGGGGCUGCGCUGGGUCUUCGCCGGUGCGUGGGGCUUCCUCUAGUUGCGAGCGGGGACUUCCCACAGCAGUAGCUGCUCUUCUCGCAGAGCGUGGCCUCUAGGGCAUGCCGUCUCAGUCGAUGUGAUCCUCAGGCCUCGCCACCCUGCGGCACGUGGAGUCCUCCUGGGCCAGGGAUCGAACUGGUGCCCCCUGCAUUGGCAGGUGGACUCUCAACCGCUGGACCAUCAGGGAAGUCUAGCAGCUGUUUUUGAAUGAAAAAGAAAAGGGAAGAGACACCACCCACCAGCCUGUCUCCCAUGGCCAAGGAGGACAGCGCUGCUCCUACCCACCAGCGUCUCUGAUGAUGGAUGGGCCGUGGCCAGGUGGGGCCCUGCCCACCCAGGUGAAGAGAUGGCCCUCCUCAUCCCCUGGCGUCUGAGGGUCCCCCACAUACAGUCUCCCCGGGGAUCCUCUGUGAAGCCGAGGCUUCAGUGGUCAGCCAUGUGCCAACAUCACUCCAAUCCCCAGAGAGCCUGCUGCUAACCAUCUCUGUCUGGAUGUCCUACACGAGUUUCAAGGCCAACCCAUCCUAAAGAACCUCUUUUCCCUUUGUGCCUAUUCCUUUGUGCCGGGGUUCCAUUGGCAAGCGAUGUUUCAUCCGUGGAUGGUACCGGUCCAUGGGUGGGUGUCAGUGAUCUACUGGGGUGGGUGACAGUGUUACCUGGGGGCAGUGGCCUACUGGUGCUGGCAGAAGUGUCCAGUGCUGGAAAGGAUCCUAGCUGGUCCUGAAUUGGACAGGGUCAGCAUGCAGUCCCACUUACCCCAUGAGACUACAGACGAGUGACUCAGCCUCCUGGCCCUUUAGCCGAAGAUGCU
ensembl:lncRNA